GAUCCUGGCUCAGGAUGAACGCUGGCGGCGUGCUUAACACAUGCAAGUCGAACGGGAAAUAUUUUAUUGAAGCUUCGGCAGAUUUAGCUUGUUUCUAGUGGCGGACGGGUGAGUAACGCGUGGGUAACCUGCCUUAUACCGGGGGAUAACAGCCAGAAAUGACUGCUAAUACCGCAUAAGCGCACAGAACCGCAUGGUUCGGUGUGAAAACUCCGGUGGUAUAAGAUGGACCCGCGUUGGAUUAG
rnacentral:rRNA from 1 species